CAGUCGCCGCGGUAAUACGUAGGUGGCAAGCGUUGUCCGGAAUUACUGGGCGUAAAGGGCUCGCAGGCGGUUUCUUAAGUCUGACGUGAAAGCCCCCGGCUCAACCGGGGAGGGUCAUUGGAAACUGGGAAACUUGAGUGCAGGAGAGGAGAGUGGAAUUCCACGUGUAGCGGUGAAAUGCGUAGAGAUGUGGAGGAACACCAGUGGCGAAGGCGACUCUCUGGUCUGUAACUGACGCUGAGGAGCGAAAGCGUGGGGAGCGAACAGGAUUAGAUACCCGGGUAGUCCCUGUCUCUUAUAA
rnacentral:rRNA from 1 species